AAAAAAUAUCAGUGAAUCUCAAGUCUCCAUGUCUAGCCCAGGGCUAUCCCCUGAGCUCCCGUCAAGGGAGUAUGAUCGCCUGCUGGGCUUCUGCGCUUGGUUGGCCCUCAAACACCUCAGAUUCCACAGGAUCAGAAUGGAAUGUGCUAUCAUUUUCCUGAUCCUGACCCACUGUGGCUCUUGAUGUCAGACUUCUGACAUCAUCGUUGGAAUCAUCAUGGACUCCCUUUUUGUCAACUUCCCCUUUUAAUUGAUCGCCAAGUCUUAUUGACUCUAUUAGUAUAUAAGUAACCCGGAUGUGCCUGACCCACCUGAAGUACCAUCUUUGCCCAGUGUAGCAUUUGGUAAGGAAAAAAAUUGGAAAAGUAAUGGAAAUCAUUAUUGUAGCCUAUCCCCGAACACCAGAGGGUGAUUACAUAGUAUGACACAUGGCAAAAUGGUCUAAAAGCCUCUUCACUCUCCCAUUUCCUCAAAAAAAUCUACUGAGUGAGAUGGUAGCUGCAUCAUCUCACUCAAGUUUCUCAAAACAAAGACUCAGAUCCCUACUUAGAAGUCUGGAGGAGGGUCAGAGCCUGGAAGGACUCAGACAGAGAGCACAGGUCGGCAGAGAGGCAGGCAGAGAGAGAAGAGGAAGCAGGCUCCCUGAUGAGCAGAAAGCCCGAUGCGGGGCUCGGUCCCAGGACCCUGGGAUCAUAACCUGAGUCAAAGGCAGAGGCUUUAAUCCACUGAGCCACCCAGGCGCCCCAAAUAUUCUGAUUUUUAAAACAUUCAUCUUUCUUUUGAAGUGUAACAAACAUUUGGGAAAAAAGGGCAAGGCAUAAGUAUAUAUUGAAUGAAUUUACCAGGUAAACAACCAUACAUUUCCUCUUUCCUCUCCUUCUGUAACAUUACAGAAUAGUUUUGCCUGUCUUUAUACUUUGUAUAAAUGGAACCAGUUAUGUAUUCCUUUGCAUGGCUGCCUUUGUGUCACAUUGUGUUUGUGAGAUUUAUCCAUGUUGCCAGGUACAGCCAUAGUUUGUUGCUUUUUAUUGUGUCAAUAAAAUAGUGUGUCAAUGAAUAGGAAAAUAUAUAUCUAGGAGUUGGAUUUAUAAUAAGUAGGAGGGAAAUUGCAUUGUCAGGCUUUUCAAAUUAUAGAAAUUGGUAGGUUAGUGACAUCCCAUUAUAGUCUUAAUUUGUGUUUCUGAUAGCUAAUAGGAUUGUGUUGGGGGGAUCAUUUUGGCUACUUUCUUUAGUAAAGUGUUCAAAUCUCUUGCCUAUUUUUUUUCCCCAAUGGUCUUGCCUUAUUUGUUUUUUGAAAAACAGGUAUAAAAAUAAUACUGGUCAUUUCAAAUUAAAGAAAAAACACAAAACAAACGGUGGUAAAGCCAUACAAUGGAAUAUGACUAAUCAAUAAAAAGAAACGAACUUUGUGCAAAAAAAUAAAAAACCAAAAACUAGUCAUUUCAAAUAACUGACUUGUGGUUUGGGUGAUUUUGUCCAUUGUUGAUUUGUUCUCUACUUUAUUGGUUUAUGCUCUUAUUUCAUUACUUCCUUUCACUUUCUUUGGGGUUUACUUUCUAAUUUUUAUUUUUUUAAAAAAGAUUUUAUUUAUUAUUUAUUUGACAGAGAGAGAGAGAGAGAGAGACAGUGAGAGAGGGAACACAAGCAGGUAAAGUGGGAGAGGGAGAAGCAGGCUUUCAGCAGAGCAAGGAGCCCGACGCGGGCCUCUAUCCCAGGACUCUGGGAUUGUGACCUGAACUGAAGGCAGCCGCUUAAUGACUGAGCCACCCAGGUGCCCUCCUUUCUAACUUCUAGCAGUGGACACUUACCACAUUGAUUUUUAGCCAGUCUUCCUUUCUAACAUACACUUGAAGCUAUGCAUUUACCUCUAAGCAGUACUUAGUUGCAUUCUAGAAGUUUGGAUAUAUCAUAUUUUCAUUAUCAUUUGUUCAGAAUGUUUUCUAAUUUUC
ensembl:lincRNA